rnacentral:rRNA from 1 species
UGAGGAAUAUUGGGCAAUGCCCGCAAGGGUGACCCAGCAACGCCGCGUGGAGGAUGAAUGUCGUAAGAUUGUAAACUCCUGUUAGAGGGGAAGAAUAGUACCGGUUGGACCGGUAUAUGACUGAACCCUCAGAGAAAGCCCCGGCUAACUACGUGCCAGCAGCCGCGGUAAUACGUAGGGGGCAAGCGUUGUCCGGAUUUACUGGGUGUAAAGGGCGCGCAGGCGGGAUAAAAAGUCAGUGGUGAAAUCCUACAGCUUAACUGUAGAACUGCCUUUGAUACUUGUAUGCUUGAGUUCGGGAGAGAGAGUCGGAAUUCCAGGUGUAGUGGUGAAAUACGUAGAUAUCUGGAAGAACACCAGUUGCGAAGGCGGUCUCUUGGUCCGACACUGACGCUGAGGCGCGAAAGCGUGGGGAGCAAACA